AGCGUUUUGGGCCAAAGCUGUGUUGUUUUAGGCUUCGUUUGGAAUUAUGAAAAAAUUACAUUACUUGCGGUGAGAAAAUAUGUUGAAAAAAUAUUCUAUUUAUUUUCGUACGUAAUAUUACGUUCCGCAUAUUGCGAUGAAUCGAUUACGAUAUAUUUUCUGCGGUCCCAUCAGAGAACGCAGAAGCAUAUCUCUAUAUUUUUUUUCUUAAUUCUAUUUUUUCUAAUAGCAGUAGAUAGCCCUUAAUACCAAAUUAAACCUUAAAAAGCAAGUUGAAGGGUCCAGAUAUUAUUCU
rnacentral:lncRNA from 1 species